CAUUCAUGUAUUGAGAAAUAAAAAAAAAUGUAUGUUUAUGGAGUAUUAAUGCUGCCCUAAAAUAAUACUACACAUGACAUAUUUGAGAAAUAAUAUGUGUCUUUAAAUUAAUGAAUACCUAUAUAUACAUGUACAUGAUUUAUGUGUAUCCAGAUAAGAAAACAAUUAUCAUGAUUAUAUAGCUGAUUUAUUUGCAAUUUUCAUUGGCGGAUCCAGGGGGGGUUUCCAGGGGUUGGAACCCCUCCUUUUUUUUUGGCCGAUCAAUGCAUUUGAAUGGGGACAUAUAGCUGGAACCCCCCCCCCCCUUUUGUCCUGGGUUGGGAACCCCCCCCUUAAAAAGCCUGGAUCCGCCCCUGAUUUUGAUGUUUGUUAGGCAUCAAUGAAAAUUGAAAAUGCAUUAAAAUUUUCACUCUUCUUAUCGUCCCACUUACAAAAUUACUUACGGUAUACAUUUGUACAGUUAUACAUCUUUAUUGACCAUGAUAAAUCUAAAUUUACAUACACUGCAUACAUGUACACAGCACCACAUAUUUUGAAAGUAUAAAAAACUUCUAAGUCAAAAUAGUAAGAAAAUGCACUGUUAAUUAGCACUAAAUGAAAGUAGAAGCAGGAUUCUCCAAUAAGGAAUAUCAAAGAUUCAAAUCUAAAUGAAAUCACAAGCACCCUUUUCAUAAUCAAAUCAGCAUCAUUUUAACCAAUAAAGGUAAAUGGUCAGAAGGAUUAUAUUGAUUUGGCAAAUUUCCAAGUUCUUGAAUUUCUCUGGAUGACAUGAGGCCCCAGCGACCUAAUAAUCUGAGUUUAUCUUCCAUAACAUUGCUAGUAGUGUGCUUGUUUCGUCGGGUAUGCACGUUCCUGUGUUGGACGCUGUAAAAUAUAUAGUCCACUGUGCAAGCAUCAGCACUGUGUUGUGUGGUGACUUCACGUUCAUAAUGUCCCAGUCUUUCUAUAGUGUGGCGAUAUGUUGAUACUAAAUUCAACUUGUGCCAUAUACACCCUGAAGACUGUGACACAGCUGGAUUGCUCCUAUGUCCAUAGUUCUCCUGAUGAUGAGAUCUCCUAGCAGCAUGUUUAUUUUCACUUUCUAUAUGUUGACACUGGUCUGAAAUGUUUACAUCUGACGGGAAAAAAUCUCUUGAUAAAUAAUUGUCUUUGCCAUAUUGCCCUUCUCUCUGGCCAGAUAUAGUCCUCGUUAGUAAUCCUUCAUACCUCAAGAACCCUUGAACCAUGAACUUAUAUAAGUCACUAAAUGGUGUGGCAUUGAAAUCCCCACACAUGAGAACCUGGCAACGAUGAUUUCUAUUGGUUUUCGCUACUUUAUCUAUUUCUGCCAGAAGACACAUGGCCUGACCUAGUUUAAUGUCCCCUCUCCUUGGAUUAAAUAAUAAAUGAGUAUUAGCUACACAAAUAGAAUCUUCUUCAGAAUAUGGAUGUUUAUGGGGUCGAAGCUUAACAACAAGACCAACAUUGUCUCUGUCCAACAGACUAUAGUUAGAUUUAUAGUAAGGCACAGAAACACUCUGUUCCAGCGUAAAUUUUUCUCUUUUGUAAAAUGUUGCACAACCGUCUAAUUUGUCACCAGUUCUCUUGACGUACACACCAUUGUAACCUGAAAAAAAAAAGUAAUUUUAAUCCAUGGAUUUUUAUUAUAUAGUGCAUGUAGUGAAAAUAUUGAAUCUCGGCAAAAAUUCAAACAUUACUAAAUUUACAAAUGUUAACAAAAACAGAAAAAUUACAACGAAACGUAUUAUGUCUCUAUUCCUGUCCACCAUGAUUUAUGCAUGUACUAAAUUGAAAGAAUUGCAUUAUGUUCAGCAUAUGUUUUAUGAUUUCAUGUUUUCUACUUUGGUG
rnacentral:lncRNA from 1 species